rnacentral:rRNA from 1 species
CAGCCGCCACGGGAAUACGGAGGGAGCUAGCGUUGUUCGGAAUUACUGGGCGUAAAGCGCGCGUGGGCGGUUACUCAAGUCAGAGGUGAAAGCCCGGGGCUCAACCCCGGAACUGCCUUUGAAACUAGGUGACUAGAAUCUUGGAGAGGUCAGUGGAACUCCGAAUGUAGAGGUGAAAUUCGUAGAUAUUCGCAGGAACACCAGUGGCGAAGGCGGCUCACUGGCUUGAUACUGACGCUGAGGUGCGAAAGCGUGGGGAGCAAACAGGAUUAGAUACCCCUGUAGUCCCUGUCUCUUAUAA